rnacentral:lncRNA from 1 species
UUUUUUAAUUGAAAUAUAGUUGAUUUACAAUCUUGUGUUCAUUUCAGGUGUACAGCAAAUGGAUUCAGUUAAGCAUAUUUUCCCUUAUAGGUUAUUACAAAAUAUUAAGUAUUGUUCCCUGCACUAUACAGUAAGUCUUUGUUGGUUAUCUGUUUUAGAUAUAGUAGUUUGCAUCCGUUAAUCCUAACUUCUUAAUUUAUCCCUCCCUUAGCCCUUCACCGUCUAGUAACCAUAAGUUUUUUUGGCAAGUCUGCGGGUCUAUUUCUGUUUUGCAUAUAAGUUCAUUGGUAUCAUUUUUUUAUUCCACGUAUAAGUAAUAUCAUGUGGUGUUUGUCUUUCUCUUUCUGGCUUACUUCACUCAGUAGGAUAAUCUCCGGGUCCAUCCACGUUGCUCCAAAUGGCAUUAUUUCGUUCCUUUAUGGCUGAGUAAUAUUCCAUUGUGUUUGUACUGCAUCUUCUUUACCCAGUCCUCUGCUGAUGGACAUUUAAGUUGUUUCCUUGUCUUGGCUAUGGGGAAUUGUGCUGCAAUGAACACUGGGGUGCAUGUAUCUUCUUGAGGUAUGGUUUCCUCUUUGCUAUGGGAAUUAUCAGUCUCUCACAUGCAAAUAUAUCUGGUGCCUUUCUUUAAGAGAACUUAUAUAUGUGUCCUUCCUCAUAAAGACAUGAGCUUCAGGCCCUAAACUGGAAAGCUCUGCUGCCGGGUGAAAGUGAAACGGGGUGUUGGCAAUUGUAUGUGGCUUCUGGGCCCCACACACUGUCUAGUAUCACUCCUUGAUAUUUUGGCUUGGAAGACAAGUCAGAAAGAAUUACCUUAAGAUAAUAAUUAUAAUAGAAGUUUCUCUCUCUCUUCUUGAAAUGGAACAGGACCCUAUGGCCCUCUCCCCAUGUCCUCUGCCUGCCUUCUGUCUGUAGAAAAAAAUUUAGUCAAAGAAUAAGUUUAAUUAAAGAAGUGAGAAAAUAUGGGAGCAAAAGAAAACAGUCAAAUGAGACCAAGUCAUUCAGCAAAGUCAAGGACCUUUAGUUCCAUCUCAAGGGCUAUAAACACCAUUCUGAGCCACAUCCUAUGAGCUGUCUUGGAGAUACUGAGUCUCCCACCAGGUGGAAGAAAUAAACUACAUCCCGACCAGACUGCAGCUCAAGGAAAUGCUAACAAACCGACCCUGGAACUGAAGACUGACUAUACUUAAAACAGAGAAGAUGGCACUGGUCAGACCUCUGCACAGCAAAGUCCGAGGCGACUGUCAGAGCUGAUGGUGCUGUUUCUGCAUGUGCCCCUUCCCUGUGCCUAGAACAGCUCCUGCCCACUGAUUGUCAGUGGGGCAGGGGGGAGGGCAGAGGGAUUUGGCCUCUGGACAGGAGUCCGCCUUCCCCCAGUUGCUGCAUCCGAAGUAAAGCAAACUUUUCUUUCCAUCAACCAUGCCUGCUUAUUGGCUCUAGAGCAGUGAGCUGCCAGACCCCUUGUUUCCUGACAUUGGCUUAGCCCGACACAGGGGCCACCUGGCCGUCACCUUCUACUUGAGGAAGUAUGAAAAGUGAACAAUUGACACCUUUCUUCUUCACCUGCAGGAGCCGCAGGACGCCUCUGCAGGAUGCAGGAUGGAGAGCUUCAUCUGCAUUGGAAACAUGUUUUCAGAUUUCAGACGAAGAUUUCGGAUUCGGUGAGCACCAUGGUGCAAGGACCAUGGAAGCUCUCUGAAAGGUUUCAAUAGUAUUGGUUUAAAAUCCAAUGGAAGUACUGCUCUUUUCUUGUGCUUAACAAAAAACCCCCCAUAUUUCACAGUAAUGGCCUCACAAGCGUGAAAUACUGCCGCCCUUGAUUAAAUUCUGUAGCCUCUGAUUACAUAGACCUAUAGGAAAUAUGGCCCCUCACCAGCUGGCAAUGGGCAGUUUGUUAAUACAGCUGCCUCUCUACCAUCUUCAGUGUACCCAGAGCCCUCUGUCAACUCAAAGCAGAUAAAUGAGGAACAGGCUGACGACCACAUAACACAGAGGUGUCAAGAAAUUCACCUACUUUGCUAAUUCUUCUUAUAUUUCUACUUUACCGAGGUCUUUGUCAUUAGGAGAGGCACCAGUUCUUUAAUUCACUUUUCAUUACAGACUCUUUUGCUCCACCUCAAACUCCCCACCUGGUCACAGGAUUCCUGUAUCCUUUCAGGAGAAGCUUUAGCUCUUGCUUUGUACAGAUUCCACGUGACCCAGAUCCAUUCGAAUUCCCCCCUUUAUUUGAAGCUCUAACCUGAACGGCUGUAAGAAAUAACUAUCACCAGGGCCAUAGGCAAGAUGUUACUUAAGGUACAGACCUUACGGUAUUAAUUUAUAAUCUUCAUACCCGCUCGUGCCCACAACUUAUCCAGUCGAAAUAUCUACUUAGCUGUACCUAUGAAAAGGGAACACGAGAGGUGAAAUUUAGUUCUCCCAGUUAUGCAGGACAUAUACACCUGUUCACGAAAGAAAAAAUUAGUUUGAUACCCUGUAAUGACAGAUGGCUUUGAAGUUCCUCGUGGAUCAUAAGACCCCCUGGUGCUGUCAGAUGCUUCUCCUUGGCCUUGUCCCUGAUCCUGGUUCAAUUUUUUAUUCAUCUGGCCGAUUUCUGCCUGGACCCAUUAAAUCAACACCUCACACGAGGUGGUAAGGAUGGAGCUGCUGCUACAAGGCCAGGCUGGCACCCAGGUUGUCCCCACCCCCAACUGGAUACGAGUCCCGAGGCCACAAGAUGCCCAACCCAAUCACGACCAAAAAUGCUGAGCACUUUCCUUGAGAGACUAAAGAAAGACGUAUUUGAAACCAGCCAUUACGAUGAAUACUGGGAGGUAAAGGACUUCCAGAUUGAAAGAAGAAACCAAAGGUGACUCAACCCGAAGCCGGGUCACCGGCUCUCUGCCUUUUUCACUUUUAAUCUGCACAUUCUGUUUAGUAGAAUCGAUUGAGAAUAGGCUGUAAAAUCCGUUGAUUUUGGAGAAAAGGGAGGGAAGAAUGAAAUCCCAUGUUUUGCCAUUUUGAUCCAAGAAAAGGACAUGGACUGCCCCCUCCCUUUCUGGUUCCCCCGUCCCAUCCCAUCUGGGGAAAGGUUAUGGCCACACCCUCUGCCACCUAAGUCCCACCCUCAGCCCUUCUUUCUCCAAAGGAGACAAACGCAGCUUCCCAGGGUCCCGUGAGCCCUUCAUCUGAGAGCAUAGGGCCUGUUGCUAAUCAUCUGGCGGAUGAAAAGACAGAUCACUGAGGUGAAUUUCCCACUUAACACACAGCAAGCUUGUCUCCUGCAGGAAAUAAGCACGGGAGACUCCUCUUUGCAUCCUGGCCCCCAGACGCUCCCCACCCUGACGGGUUGGCCAGCGAGUGUCCCUGGGCCGCAUUUAGGCUAGGUCCCAAGGGGCAUGCAAAGGAAUCAGCCUGCAGGUGCAUGUGUCACGGGGCGGGGGAACAGAGGAAAGAAGGUGUGAGCCCUUAGGGAAAAGCUUUUCCAGGUCCUGAGGGGGCCACCUGGGAGAAAUUGGGUGGUUUUCCUACUGUUGGCGUUCCUGCUGUGGUGCAAUGGGAUCGUUCGGGUCUCUGCAGCGCCGGGACACAGGUUCUCUGCCCGGCCCAGCACAGCGGUUGAAGGAUCUGCCGUUGCCACUGUGGGAACCACUGGAACGUGGCAGCGAGGAUGUCCCCAAAGCCCGAAACCUACCUGAGGUCUCGGCUGUCUUGGGCAUCGAACACGAUUCCAACCGAGAAAAGCUCUUAUCUUUGAUUCUGGGGAAAUAUUAAUCUCCUCCUAUCAUUCCCACGGUGUCUCUGUGUCCCUCCUGGCUUCUCCCUCUGCCUGACCCCUGAGGAGCUGACACCCUCCAAGGAGCUCUUCUCUUCUCCCCUUGCAGACCUGCCCGUGAAUCCUGGCGACUCCGGGAUGAGCUUCGGGACCUCAGCCAACAUAACCUCUUUCGGCGUCCACGCAUCAGCUACAACGUGGAGAGGAUGCUGUAUCUGAGAAGGCCGAGCCUGUGUCCCCAGGGGGAGCACAGAGCGGGCAGGACGAUGUGUCGUGGUCUCUCCUGCAUCCACGUCUCCCCAAGCGGUGUCUUCGUCCUGAGGGGUCUUCUCCCACCCUAGCCUUUUACUUCAUCUUCUGUGUUUGUCUUUCCGUGUGGACUGAGAUCCAUUCUUAUGGGCCAGGGCUUUGGUCUUGUUCUACCCGGCUCCCAGCCCAGAGGGAAUGGGAGUGCAGUGUCGGCUGAUGGUUGUAUUUGUCGUCCUUUGCUGUGUAACAAAUGACCCCCAAACUGAGCAGCUUGUAUCAGUCAGCUGAGGGUAUCAUAACAGGGCACCACGGACUGGAAGUUUAUUUAUUCUCUCAGGGUUCUGGAAGCUAGAAAACCGAGAUGAGGGUAUCAGCAGGUUCACUUCCUCUCGCGGUCUCUCCCGUGGGUCACCUUCUCACCGUCCUCAUACACAUUUCUCUCCACGUGCAGCCCUGGUGUCCGUCUCGCUCCUCUGGCAAGGGCACCAGUCCUAGCAGAUCAGGCUCCCCCUUGGACCUCAGUUUUAAUCUCAAUUACCUCCCUAAAGGCUACAUCUCCAAAUAUAACCACAGUGCAGGGUAGGCCUUCAACAUGCAGAUUUGAGAGGGACCGGAUUCAGUCCUUAGCCUUCAGGACUCACCGUGUCUGUGGCUCAGGAGCCUGGCCACCACUCCGUGGGCCCUGUGGCCCAGGCUGUCGCUCAGGCUGCUGUCCAGAUGACAGCCAGAUCUGCAGUCAUCACAACCUCUCUGGAGAGGGGUCUCUUCCAGGCUGACUCAGACGAGAGCUCACGCCCCAGCAGCAGGACCGAGGGCUGCAGUCCCUCUCUGGGUGUUGGCCUGAGGCUGCCCUC